CUAUGAAUUUGUUACAUUUUAAGCUGCUUUCAUCUGCCUUGUUCACAAAUAGUCUCACUGAAGUAUAAAGUGAUCACCUAUUACUGCAAUGUGAUUUUCAUAGUAUUGAAAAUCAUUGCCCAUACACAAAAGCAUCUGUUUGGCAAUGUUUUUACUUAGGAAGAACAAAUUCUUCAACUGAAUUGUCUUAACUAUAGAAACAAGAUUUAGGUAUCUGUGCUCAUGAAAAGUAAGAGUAUUCUUUAAGAUAUGUGCCAUUAAUUGACUACUGAUAACAUUUUAAGGCAUCAAGGUAAUAGUAUUAUUACGUAAUUAUUACAUUGUGAAGAAUAUAGUCACAGUUACACUACUGCAGUAGGCAUCUUCAACACAAACAUCCAGUAGUAUUAUACUAUUAUGAGCUUUAAGAUGCUGUUUCUACUCAGUUGUGCCACAACUACGAUAGCAAGAUUUUUGACAAUAUCUCUGGUCUGAAAACUCACCAGGAUUAAUCCUGUGUCAUUUACAAAAUCUAGUACACUGGGGUUUAAAAUUAUAGCCCACUUUUCCAUCCAAAAAGCUUUGCAGCAUUCCUCAACUAUUUAAUUGGUAAAAGCAAUGCAACACACUACAUACAUGAGCAAUGUGUGUCCCUUUUGCCAUAAAACUACAACAAAUAUAAAUAUGUUCUACAAUAUUUGUAAUAAUUGCUUACACUUACAUUGAUCUUGAACACCUUUACAGAAACUUGAUCAUACUGACUUUAUGUCCUCAGUGUCUACAAACAACCAGGAUUUUGCUGAUGGGAGCCAAUAAGUUUGUAUUUGAUCUCUCAAUAUGCAACAAUGAUCUCUCCUGGGUUUAUUUUCUGGCCUGUGGUAUCAGUGCAGAAAGCGUAUCUCUGUAACUCAACCACUUAAAACUGGCCCUCCAAAUUAGGAGCUGGUCCUACCUGCUCUUAAUUGCUUGUGCCUGUUCCUGUGCUACCAGUGUGAGCACAAGCAUUCGUCAGGUCAAUGAACUGUGCAGUAAGGCUGCUCUGUUUAAAAGUAUCUUUUAGUGUGGUCAAAACUAACUAAACAUAUUUAUUUUCUGUGGGGUUAAUAUUACCCUCAGUUAGAUCUCCAGAUCUGUUUGAGUUGUGUGUAAACACCUGUGGAAGCACAAGUUGCAGAGCAACAGAAGAGCAGAAGUGGCUGGGAGAGAGGAAAGGGAGGGAGGCACUUGCCAUCCAGCCUCUGCCUCCAGUGUCCCAUAGCUCAAAGUGAUAGUGAAACCGUGGCACAACUGGAGAUGCCUUCAUAUAGGUACUGCACACAAAACCAUCUGCAGUAGCUACAGAAGUGUCUGACAGAAUAUGUCUGCAUUUAUGGUGCUACACUUAAUAACACAUUCUGCUAAAAUGUUGCUGUACAUAAAGGCACAGCCUGGUCUUGUAGCUCGAUCCCAAAGUCCCAAAGCAGAGCAGGCAGUGAGCUGCUCGAGCUGCAUCCUGAAAGAAUUGGUGGUGUAGGGAAGAGAAAACAGGGGUUAGUUUUGGUUGAAUAGAGAAGGACACAAUGAGGAAAGGAUAUUUCCAAAGUCUCCUUUCAAAGGAGGAAAAAUAAUAAGAACACAGCAAGUGUUUGCUGGUAUUAAACCAUGAUAAAGUGCUAGUGACCUAUUAUUUCUUUGGGAACAGAUUUGUUGCUUGUGAAAAAAAGUGCAAAUUGCAGCAACUAAUCCAGGCAAAACACCAGCAGAUGCUGUGUGCAAGCUGCCUUAAGCCUUUGCCAGUCCCCCAUGCCUGGUGUAUGGGAUAAGCAGGCAGAAGUACACUAGGCCAUAACACGAAACUCCUAUUUUAUAUUGUCAGAAACGAGGUUUGUAUGUGCUCUUCAAGGCACAAAUCUUGAUGUCAGUCAUUUGGCAGUUGGUCAGUGUUCAUUUGUAUAUAAGCAACCUAUACACAAGUAUAUAAUGUUGACAGUUUGAACCAAAUGCCUUGUUUACAUUUCCUUACUCAUUGUGGAGCCACCGACUCUCAUGUGAUGGUAUGAGGAUGCUGUAUGCCUCGGUUAAGUAUUUUAAAUUACCAUGGCUGGUCAAGAUCCUACAAUUUAAGUAGUUGCAAAACCUAUAAUGAGUAGCUAAAACAGGGAUUUGAAUUAGAACAUGCAGAAAAGCCUACCCUCUCUCCUAAUUUUUAAUGAAACCUAUUUUUAGUAAUGUAAAAUAAUUCCGAUUUUUUUUCCAGUGAAAAAGCUAACUCUUAAGACACUGAAAACCAGACUGCACUCUGUUUCCAGUGCUGUUUCAGUAAAAAUUAAAUACAAUGCAGAAUGCACAUGCAGUCCCUGAAGGAGGGACUGGAACUGAGGUAUGCAGAACUCCCACAUUCUCAGGCAUAUUUCCCUAUGAACCUACUAAUUUGAAUGAUGACGUACAGAAAUACAGAGUUCUAGGAAGUUAAAACCGUUGCGCAAAUCUGUUUUUAUGAUUAAGAAGGUCCCAAUGGAUCCAACGGGCAAUUCAGUGAGAACUGGGAGAAGUUGAAAAGAGAUAACCAGCAGGUGACACGAAAUUAGACACUCAGCAAGAAGGAAGCUUUCAUCUGCAUACUCAGACAUGGCAAACCUGGAAUUUCAGACUUCAGCAGGAUGUCGUAUAUGCCAAAACUACAAAUGGUCCAGAAAGUAAUUAGAAACAUUCAUAGAAAGUCCAUCAAGACCCAUUAAGCACAAGAAUGCAGAUACAAACUCCAGUUUCUGGAUGCCCCAGUGCCACAGACUGCCAAAAGCUCAGAGGAAAUACCAGCAAAGCAUCUGGCCAUACUUGUCCUCUUCUGGAUUCUUUCCCUAAUUACCAGCUGCUGCUGGCCACUGUGGGAAGUAGGACAACAAGCUGGGCGUCAGCAAAACAUCACCUUUACCUCAUCCGCCUGGCCAUUCUGAUGUGAGAACUUGCCAUGACUCUGCCUCAGUCCCCUUGCUCUGGAACCAAAAGUCCUCCACAAGUUCUCUCCGUGGGUCAUUUGCAGUGUGAAGGGGGUGACCUCUACAGACUGAGGAAGCUCAGAAGAACAGGUUUGGGGGCUCAGAGAGAUACGAGACACCUCAAUCGCUACAGGGCCUCAAGCACAAAGGGAGAAAAGCUAUUACUUUACCUUCAUUCUUCUCCCUGUUUUAACCUCCUGAAGUGAACAGAAGUAGGUGUGGCUUCUCCACCUCAAUUACCUUAUCCAGAAAAUCAGAAAUCUCACAAUCUGCCAGUGUUGAUAACUCCAUUUAAAGAGAAUUCUUAAACAUAAAGUGUAGGAACAGCAGACAGAAGCUGAUAUGAAAUAUAAUCCAAAUGGACUGUCAGGAAAUUCUCAAAUGUCUAAGCAUUAAGGGCUGUGAAGUUGUGCUCUACAAAGGAAAGCAAAUGUGGCAAAGAGAAAGAACUGAAAGACAAGCACCAGAUUUUGCCAAAUCCUGGGCACAUUGCAGCGGCUGUAGACUGUCCUGAGAAACACUGUGACUCUGAAAGGGCAGAGAACAGACUCUGCAGCAGCUUUAGAUGUGGCACAACAAACCCCGCUCUGUGUGGGCACAGCGGCCCUGCCAGGCCGGCCGGCCGGCAGCCGGGGAGAGGAGCCUGCCCGGGCCCCAGCUCCACAGAUGCUGCUCCACACUCUGGAAUACAAAUAGCUGGCAAAGGAGUUUCACAGCACUGGCCUUCCAUGUGCAGGCAGAAGAUAAGUGAUUCUUUGGUUUCCAAAAGUCAAAGUGAGUCUCCAGAAUUCUGGGCUUUUAGGAAGAGAGAUCAUAUUUUAAAACUUUUGUAAUCCAAAAUAAUAUUUUACUGUCAUGCUAAGUUAUUGUCAGGAACAGAGGAACUGUUACAAUUGAGAGAUUAGGUGGCCUACAGAAGAGAGUGUUACUGAAAAAAGCCUGUAACCCAGUAUGCAUAUUUAAUCUUUUUUAAAAAUGAGCCUGGAAACAGUCUAUCACCAAGUGUAAUGAUCUACUCAUGUCUGACUUACCAAACAGUAUAUGAUACUUUACCAAAAGCCAGCAGCAGCAAUACCUAAGAUUUGCUUGCCAAUGUCUUACAACUCUGUCAGUCCUCUAGUAACCUGCAAAAUUCCUACUUCCAAAAUGUACAAGAUUGAGCUAAAAUAAUUUUGUAAUGCAGUUCGGGGAAGGUAUUCUUAGUGUUGAUGCACAGCACAAAGCACAAGGAGCUGUUACUUGGCUUUCCUCGGCCAAGCACAGAGACUAUGAGAAUGACCACCAUUUUAUCCCCCCAAAAUUGUGUUCCAUGUCCAAACUGAGAGGAAUCUGAGGACUGUGCCAAACAACUACGAUCACGUGUGACUUAUCUUCCAGCACUCUGGUGUUCUGAUUGCUCAGCACCUUGAGAAAUUGCCUAGGAACUGUGGUUUUCUUUCUGUCGGUUUGGUUCCACUACCACCUGUAUCUACCAACUGGUAGCAGGCUACAUUUUACUUUACCUCUCUUAUUGCUGCUACAUUUUCUCUCUUGAUGCAUUUGUUGCUGAUGGGACAGUAUGGGAGAGUGCUGGCUGGUUUUUUAGAGCAUCUUUCUGACAGCUCAUCAGCGUAGAGCAACUGGAGCGGCAGCCCUGAACCAGCCCUUGCCGAUCCUACAGGAGACCACAGGAAUCAGAAAUGGACUGACAAAGAGAAGAGCCCCAGUACACAAGCCCUAAGGAAAACAGUGGCCAGCAGCUGUGCUGAGGUGUCUUUUGAGAAGAUUUCUGUCACAUCAAGACCCAGACAGCACACAGCUGAUGUCCCCAUCCAGCUGGGAAGGGUGAGAAUCACACAAGCCAGAUGAUUUAAAGGUAACUGAAUCCUUCUCCUGUAAUGCAUGGUCCUGUGCAACAGAACGUACAUUCAAGCAGCAAGAGCAGCCUGACUGCGAUGCUGGUGUAAUUCCACUUCUGACAGUGAUUUCCAAGGGCUCUGGAAGAAAGCUGUGGACAGACCUUGGAGCCAUAUGAAAAUACAAGUCAAAAGCUGCAGGCAGUGGAGGAACUGCAUGAGAAACCCUCCUCACUAAGCUGCAAUCAUCACCUAAAACCACAAGAUGAAUUACCAGAUUCAGAAACGUAAAGAGAAACCGAAAUGCAGUCUGUUUGCUGGAGAGCUGCUUCAUGCGAUACAGCUCUCCCCCAGACCCUGACUGCUCCCAGCCUCCGCAGCAGGUCUCUUUUCAUCACCAGCCCUCAAAAACUCACAUGGAACAUCCAGACGAUGGUACUACAGCAAUUCUUAAUCCAUGCACUUUAACUAUGGGAAACCCUUUAUCUUAUUAAUAAAAUACUGCAAAGCAGCAAUGCAGAAUCUCUUAAUCAGUUCCACACGCACAGGCACGGGUUCCUCCACAGCACAGCACCAUGGCUUGACUUCAGAGCCUCCCUACUGGUACCAGUGAAGGGAAGGAGCCCGCAUGAGCGGCACUGGCAUUGUCGAGGAAGCCCCAGAUGACAGCCCUGCUGUAGGCCAGACAUAAAUCCAGUCACGCUAAUGCAACAGUUCAGCUGCCUUCCCAGCCCAGGGGUGAAUACAGACUGCAGGAUCACAUGGGUUAACUGAAAAGAUAUUGAACCUGUUGGUCUGGAUGGAAUAUGUGGACAUGAAGGUAUCUUAACGUAAGAGGGUGUUAAUGGCUGCCAUCAAUCAAGAUUUUGAUCUCUAGACAAUAUUAGAUCUUGUCUCUAGGCAAUGACAGUUCUUAAACCUAAUGGGUACGCUAACAGCUUUCAUUCAGGCGACAUGAAAGCAGGAGUUGAAUACUUCAGUGGACUGAGGUAACAAGACAACAGAAGCUACUGCCCAAGGCAAUCAUGCACAAGAUUAAACCUAAGUAAGGCAAUACUUUUAAUAUCCUCAACUAUCUUAUUUGAAAAAGAAAAAAUAAUUAUUUCUUCAUUUCUCCAGGGAGAAUAGAAGUCAGCAUAUCCAUUAGCUUCCACUGUAUCUGAAACUGUCUAAAAAAAAUCCACAGAAGAGCCAGCCCAGCUCAUCAACUCAAGGGCAAGGCCACUUCUGUUGCUUGCAGGAUCUGUGGACAACCUGACCACAUCGUGUUACCCAGAGCAAGCAUCCUGCAAAACCAAGGCAGCUCACAGGCACACUGGACAACUGACUGACAUGGACAUAGAAAUGGCUCUGCAUAGUCAGCUAAAUCAAAUGGGAUUUUCUUUGCUCUGCUAGGCCUAGCAGAAUCACUAGUUUGCACCAGUUUUCUCAGCAUGCAUGGCUUCGUCAGCCUUCUCUCAGCUGGGUCUGAGCCAGCUGAGUGCAUCCUGCCCAAGCUAAUGAAGUCUUCCAGAAACAGGAGCACUGAAAAGUAAAGGGCAGAGAUGCCGAACAGCUCUGUGAGAGCCAGGCGGGGCUUGGCAACGAUGGAGGCAGAUCCUGCUGCACCCUGAGCGGCUCCACGCAGUGCGGCUCUCCUGCCUUUGCAUGAUGCUUCCCAUCCAGCCCUUCCCUUGUCCAGGUGCCACAGGUCCCUCUCUUCCACCACCAUUGCCCUGGGAGAUAAUUAGGCUGCUGGAGCAAGUCCUCAUGCAGCCACUUUGCCAGAGAGACAGAACAGGCUGCUUGCUUUCUUGCAGGGUCAAGUUAAUUUUUUUUCCUGCUUGUUCUUACAUGGCCUGCUGUUUAGGCCAAUAUUUCAUAAAGAAAAUCUUACACUCACUGUAGCGUGAAGUGGUCAAAUACUCACUAGUCUUCUGAAAGCUCAAAAUCAUCCAAGUCUAUGAAUGCAAGAGAAGAUAUAUCAAUGAACAACAACAAGAAAAGCCCCACACACCAACCAAACAAAAAAGCUAUUGAGAGAAAUUUAAUGAACUCGUAUUUCUUCCUGAUGUUCUCUGUUGUGUCUUCCUCUGUCAAAAAUAAAAAAAAGAAAAUACUUCUAAGCUAUAAAACUGAGAGAUUCUCAAGCCAUAUGAAUAUCAUCAGUAAUUAAUGUUAUGUUAUAAAAUACUAUUGUAUACAGAUUCUAAAAGAAAGGCAAUAACAAGUUAUUUACAUUGUUUCUAGAAACCUACAGCACAGAUUUGUUUAAAAUACACUGUAACAUGAUUGUUUCCUUAGAAUUACUAUACUGAUAACAUCUCAUACAAAAUUGAAUUAUGAACAUGGUAAAACAAACUUACUUAGCAAAAGAAUAGCUCUAUCACAACAUUGUAUUUUAAGCACAACACUGUAUUUAUAAACUCUCCCCAAAACAUACUGAAAGUGCCAAACCUCUGCUUGAGAAACAAUUCAUGGAGCCCUGCUACGAAAUGAGUGAAUCCAGCCAGCACCAGGGAUGUAGGCAUGCAAACACCAUCACCCACAUCUUCGUGGGUAAGUGCCAUUCUGAUGGUGUAACUUGAGUCCCAGAAUUCACAUCAAGGAACAAUUACAUUUUCUACUACAGCAGCAAUGAUCUGAUUAAUUUAAUCUAGUUGAUAGAUGUCACUAGUGAUUUUUAUUAGCAAAUCGGUCUCGUUGUAUUUGCAGACAUGACAUUAAUUGUAUUUAUGGGCUGUGCCAUGUCAAAAGAGCAGGACUUGUGCCUGACCUGUGUCUGAGAAAGUCAUCCACAUAAUACAUCAAGAAGGAAGCUUGCUGAACAUACUGUGCCCUUAAAAAUGCUGUUCCAGGAAGAAUCAGGCACCAUAAAGGUUGUUUCCACGGUUCAGUACUGCAAUUGCCUGCCCUACAUGAACUCCAUAGGCUAAUAGGAAUUAUCUCAUUUGGAGCACAAAACUAAAAGAAAAACUAGGACUAAAAUAUCCAGCAAGUAAUCACUCACAUAAAAAAAAAAGGCAAAAAACACCCAACCAACCAGCAAAGGAAAACCCAACUGUGAGAUGUUUGUAUGUUUGUUUUAAAGGUUAAAUAUAUUUUCAGGAAGUGUGACAGGGUUCUGCAAGCUCUUGCACCAAGUCAGAAUCUUUGUGUGGUCAUUGCAAAGACACAUAAAAGAAACAUGACACAAUCUUUUUUUUUUUUUUCUUAAUUAUAAAUAAUCUUUCCAUUAUUCAGCUCUUUUUACAGGCUUAGAGAUUGCAGAUCCCUCAUCACUUCACUUCUGCUUGCUUUGUAGCAUUGCAUAAAUUUACAAUCUGUUGUGUCUGCAGACCUCAUAGCCAUUCAAAUAUAUAACUGAACCCUGAAGGCCCAACUGCGUGUGCUGAGGGCAGGAUAAAGUUACAGCAAUAGAUUGUGAGUGCUGAGAAGACACUUCAUGCAAGGAUCACUCGAACGCCCUGGUCUCUGGGGGCGAUGGCUGCAGACAGUGAGGCUGGGCAGCUCGCUCCCUCUGCUCCCGGCAGCCUGCUCUGUGCCAGCCUCACCGGGUCCUGUUCAGCCCCAUCCCAGGAGGAUGAUUCUGAGCUGAAAAGGAAAGCCCUCAGCAGCCUUCUCCCUCAUCUAACCAGUCUGAGGCUGGAAGCAGUUUGCCCCUGAAUCCCUACACACAUUCAUAAAUGAUUUAUCACUUCUGAAUUAUCAUACCAUAAAGUCGUAAAAGAAUAGAUAUGUUCUCUGAACCACACAGUAACUGAUUAUUUAGGAAAAGGAAGCAAAAAGCCAUGCUGUGUUUAUUUUUUUGCCUGUUUUCAAGGUGUUCAUAUGCUCAUAGUUCGGGCCAGCAUCACUCCAGCGUACAAGCACGAGUUAGGCAAUCUUCAAGUUGAGCUGUAGGUUUUGUUGCCAUGAGUAAACAAAAUGCUUCCUCACUCCACACACAACUGGAUUUGUAGCUUGUUUCCCGUGACUUGCAAAUGAACACAAUGGCAGUGAUGGGUACAUUAGAGCCAAGCGCUGAGGACUGGAGACUCUGCUCUAUCCGCACGGCGGGCGGAGCACGCAGCGCAGCCUGCACACAUGCCCCACACCUUCUCACCAAUUAAGUUAAUCACUUCAGGGCUGAGAGACGAAUGUUUACUGCUCUUCACCUUUCAGUCUCUGUGCCACCGCUGCUACUACAGCAGCUCGUUCAUAUUAAUUGGGAUAGUCUUUUAUGACACGCUUGACAAGUAGAAACCAUUCCCAUAUCACCAGUUUACUCCAGAGGCACAGAUCCUAUCCAGAGCCACCAGCUUGAAUUAGCUGGCCAGACUGGAAAAGCUUGAUAUGCUCUUGUUAAUUCAGUGAACUUUUACUUGCAUAAUUGUAGCAUAUUAGCUCAAAUAAAUGUACCAUGACUUUU